UACGUAGGGGGCAAGCGUUGUCCGGAAUUAUUGGGCGUAAAGCGCGUGUAGGCGGUCCGGUAAGUCGGUUGUGAAAGUCCAGGGCUCAACCCUGGGAUGCCGAUCGAUACUGCCGGACUAGAGUCCGGAAGAGGCGAGUGGAAUUCCCGGUGUAGCGGUGAAAUGCGCAGAUAUCGGGAGGAACACCAAUGGCGAAGGCAGCUCGCUGGGACGGUACUGAUGCUGAGACGCGAAAGCGUGGGGAGCGAACAGG
rnacentral:rRNA from 1 species